GUUGUCUCAGCAUGGAUGUUGACGUCUCACAAAACCAGGAGUCUGGGAGUCCUCAACAUAGCCUUCAAGACCAGCUCUGUCAGCUCACGUAUGUAGCAAGGCAAGUGGUGAACCAUCAGAAUCCCUGACCUUCUGCCCUGAUCUGCACCAAGUACCAGGUGGGCACAGCUAGGUCAGACCAAUUCCACCCAGCUCAUGCACCCAGGUCUCAGAGAUGCAGACCAGAUUGGCCUCCUCAUACACAAUCAGAUAAGCAAUGUCUUAUUCAGAGCUGACCUAUCAUUCAGCAGAAACAACCACAGACCUGAGGGUUGCCUGAUACGACAACCACAAUUCCCCAGGUUGGAGGAGGAGCUGGCACACAGCAGUCACUGCCUUCCUGUGCUGUAUGCCUCUUACCUGGCCUGCCCCACCUGUCACACCAUACCUCUCCUUACUUUGAACUAUUGCAAUUUCAUGCCCUAUUAUCCCCAGCUUCUCUCCUCCCAGACAAAUCUCUCCUUCCUCAGUAAAAACAACAACAAUCCACACAAACGAAAAACAGUUAACCCGCCAACAAUACCCAGCUCUACCUCUCUUUCAAAUCAGAACCAGUGAAGGCGGUGAAGGUCCUGUGUGAGUGCCUGGAGGCGGUUGGAGGAUGGAUGGCAGCUAAUGGAUUGAAGUUGAAUCCUGACAAGACAAAAGUACUGUUUUUGGGGGACAGUGGGCGGGCUGGUGUGGAGGACUCCCUGGUCCUGAAUAGGGUAACUGUGCCCCUGGGAGUCAUUUUGUCCAUGGAGGUGCAGGUCAAUUCUGGAUCCAGGGCAGCUGUCUUCCAAUUCCACCUGGUAUGCAGGCUGAGACCCUACCUGCCCGCGGACUGUCUCGCCAGAGUGGUGCAUGCUCUAGUUAUCUCCCGCUUGGACUACUGCAAUGCACUCUACGUGGGGCUACCUUUGAGGGUGACUCGGAAACUACAACUAAUCCAGAAUGCAGCAGCUAGACCGGUGACUGGGGGUGGCCGCCAAGACCACAUAACACCGGUCUUGAAACACCUACAUUGGACCACAGGUAUGAAAUUUACGGCCUGUAAUGCCUUAAGAGAAAAUAUAAUGAAAAUGAUUUACAGGUGGUACUUAACCCCAGUCAAGCUAGCAAAAAUCUAUCAUUUGCCCGAUAAUAAGUGUUGGAAAUGUAGAGAAAAUGAAGGAACAUUUUUUCACCUUUGGUGGACGUGCCCAAAGAUCAAGGCCUUCUGGGAAAUGAUAUAUAAUGAAUUAAAAAAGGUAUUUAAAUAUACCUUCCUGAAGAAACCAGAGGCCUUCCUCCUGGGCAUGGUCGGCCAAUUGGUGCGAAGGGAAGAUAGAACUUUUUUCAUGUAUGCGACAGCAGCAGCAAGAAUACUCAUUGGGAAGUACUGGAAGACACAAGAAUUGCCUACCCGAGAAGAAUGGCAGAUGAAAGUAAUGGACUAUAUGGAAUUGGCUGAGAUGACCGGCAGAAUUCGAGACCAGGGAGAAGGGUCGAUGGAAGAAGACUGGAAAAAAUUCAAAAUAUAUCUUCAAAAAUAUUGUAAUAUAAAGGAAUGUUAGAAAGAGGUUGGAAAAAGAAUAUUAGGUCGUUUUGGCAGAUAUGAUAUAAUGGAUUAAGUAAAAAUGAGGUAUGGAAAUUGAUGAAAUAGAGGAGGAUUAAUUACAGUAUUGAACAUUAAAAUAAGUAAAUGAAAAGAAGGUGUCAGGGAACUGCCAUCGGUAGGAAGGGAGGUGAAAGGACUCAGACAGGUUGGAAGAGACUUAGCAGCUGAAGAGGAAACCAGCAGGGGGAGAGAAGCUGAACUGAGGGAGGUGAAAGGGCUCAGACAGGUUGGAAGAGACUUAGCAGCUGAAGGGAAACCAGCAGGGGAGAGAAGCUGAACUGAGGAAAGGGAGCUGGGGGAUGGCUCAGAGAUACUUCCAGCGAAAACAGUGGUGAGGUUUCCGGACCUCCUGUAGCGACACCCACUCCUCGCCGGAAACUGUCACGCAGAGAGUCCAGAAGACGUGUUUCCGUUAAGGAGCUUUUAUGUUGGAAGCGAUUACGAAAGCAACCACUGUCGGAAUCUUCUAGUGACUAAGAGGAGCCAUGUCAGAGGGCUCAGUCACAGACAGAGGUUUGUGGACUUGAACAAACUCUGAGGGAAUACGAUUUUACGCACAAGCAGCUCAUAAUCCCAUCACAGCAUUCCGACAGUCUUUGGACGCAGCUUGUGCAGGAGAAGGCAUAAUGAGCAACCCAGCAGGAACCGGAGAAGCAGGGGCUGGAGCGGGUCCAAGCCUGGAAGAAAGGUACCGAGUGUUGGAGGUCCAGCUGGCGCUGCAGACGGCGAGGCUGGAGGAGAGGAGGGCUCAAGAUGCAGACAAAGGGAGAAAGCCACCCAGCUCGCCAGAAAGGUACCAGGAUUGGUGCAAAAAUUUGGGGAGCCCAAAGACUCUCAUAGCUUUCGGACAGAAAUGCAAUAUGCCCUCAAUCUGCAGUUUGAUGAUUUCCCUGAUGAGGAAUCACGAGUGGCUUUUGUGAUUGGGCAUCUUGAAAAAGGGGGCGAGAGACUGGGUUAGACCCCUGAUGGCAGCGCAUAGUGACGUCCUAAAGGACACGAUGAAGUUCUUUCGCGCCAUGGAUCUGAUGUUUUCCAGCGAUAUUGAAAAGGGAGUGGUGCGCAGACAGUUAAUGGCUUGCAAACAAGGGAGCCGAUCUGUACGUGAGUACUGGACUGAGUUCACCAUGCUGAUACACAGAUUGGGGUGGGACUUAUCGGCGGAACCCAUUCAAAUGCUCUUUGAAGAAGGGCUUUCUUCGGCUGUGAAAGAUGAACUUUCCCGGGCGCCCAGGGCGGAGUCUAUGGACCAGCUGACCAAAUCAGCGCUGGCCAUAGGAGCGCGCCAGGAGGCGAGAGCAUUGGAGGGCGGGAAGGGAAAGGGGAACGUUGGAAGGAGUUCCGCAUUCCAGACAUUCCAGAGCCAACUGUCCCGCCGGCAGAGCCGAUGGGACUCGGUACAGCGCGCGCGCGCAGUGUCAGAGCCCAGUGAGGGGAAAGAAGGAUGGAAAAGGCGCCCGGAAAUGCUAUCUCUGCCAACAGCCAGGGCACUUUGCCAGAGUCUGCCCCCAGAGGAAGGAAUGGCAAGGGAUGGUGGGAGCUGUGGAGGGAAGAGAGGAAAAAUACCGGAGCAACUAAAAGCCAACGCCUGGCUGCCAUUGUCGGGGCACAGCAGCCAGGCCAAAGAGCAGUGAAAGUGCCCACUCCAGAACCUCCUAAACCCGCCCUAGUGAUAGAAGUGACACUAGAGCUCCCAACCGGACACCCUCUAAAGAUAAAGGCGCUGUUGGACUCAGGCAGCUCCUGCAAUUUCAUGAGCAAAGAGUUUGCAGCUGAACACCAGAUACAGACGCUCCCUUUAAGCAACCCCUGCAGGUAACCACGAUCGAUGGCAGGGAGCUGUUGGGAGGAGAAGUCAGCUUGCAGACCGUCCCAAUGAUAAUGAAGGUGGCAAGGCACACUGAACUGAUAGCUUUUAAUGUGGCCACCUUGGGAGGAGCUCCCAUUAUAUUGGGGAUGAGCUGGCUAGCGUUACAUGAUCCGCUGGUGGGCUGGCAUCAGAGAGUGGUUUCUUUUGGGUCAGCACAUUGCUUAGAACAUUGCAAAGGGGAAAGGUUUUGGCAGGGGCCCAAGCCACCCUAGCAGGGACUGAAGUGAAGGAGAACGUGAAGGUACCACGACAAUACGCAGAUCUCCGCGACGUCUUCAGCGAAAGGAAGCUGACCAACUACCACCGCAUAGAGCCUUUGACUGUCAAAUCAAUUUGCUCCCUGGGGCACAGCUCCCUGUGGGCAAGCUGUACGCCAUGUCAGACAGAGAGAUGCAGGAGCUAAGAGAGUUCAUUGACAAGAACCUGAAGAGAGGGUUCAUCAGAGAGUCCAGGGCGGUGGGGGCAGCCCAGUGUUUUUGUGGACAAAAAAACACGAACAAGCCGAGACUGGUGUGUGACUUCAGGGCCUUAAAUGCAGUGUCAGAACCAGUGGCCUUCCCGAUGCCCAGGAUUGACGUCAUGUUGUCAAGGGUGCGAAAGGAAAGAUUUUCACCAAGCUGGAUCUAAGGGGCGUACAACCUGAUACGAAUAAGGAAGGGGGAUGAAUGGAAAACCACCAUGUUCACCCCUUUAGGGGCAUUUGAAUACUUAGUUAUGCCCUUCGGUCUACAAGCAGGCUCCGCAACAUUUCAAUCGUUUAUGAACCACGUCCUGGGGCCGUUGCUUUACAAGAAUUGUGUGGCCUUCUUAGACGACGUGUUGGUGUAUUCUGAGAAUGAGGAGCAGCAUGUGAGAGACGUCAGAGAAGUGUUGAGCAGGCUGCAAGCCAGCCUGCUGUGGGUGAAACUGGAGAAGUGUCAGUUUCAUACCAAGGAGGUGGAAUUCCUGGGGUAUCGCCUGUCUGACAAGGGGUUGGCCAUGGAUCCCGGCAAGGUCCAGGCGGUACUGGAAUGGAAAACACCCAAAACAAGGAAGGAUGUGCAGAGGUUUUUAGGGUUUGGGAACUUCUAUCGUAAGUUCAUCCCAAACUUUGCCCACCUGACGGCGCCCAUUACGGACUGUCUCAGCAGUAAGAAGAAGUUCGUUUGGACGGAGGAGGCGGAGCAAGCAUUUGAGGAACUAAAAAGGGCCUUCGCCUCGGAACAACAGCUCCUGCAUGUGGAUUUACAAAAACCGAUGAGAGUGGAAACUGACGCAUCAGACAAAGGAGGUUGUAAGAAAUUAAGACCCAGGAGGUUGGGUCCCUUUGAGGUCAUUCAACAGGUCAACCCAGUGGCUUUCAGGCUCCGGUUACCCAACCACAUGAAACUGCACCCAGUAUUUCACAGGUCGUUACUGUCACCGUACGAGGGGACGAGAAGGGAUGGCCACUCGGGGACCGGUCAUAGAAGAAAGAGAAUGCAGCAGUCAUGUGGCAGAAAUCCUUGAUGCCAGGUGGAAGGGGAAUCAGGUGGAGUAUUUGGUAGCGUGGGAAGGAGAACCGGAGUCAGAAAACACGUGGGUAAUGGCCAAAGAUAUCAAUGACGAGGUAUUGAUAGAAAUGUUCCAUCAAAGGUUCCCGCGGAAACCUCAGCCUGUGGAGAGGUUCCGGAGGGAAUACUUUGGGACCACUGAGGAGGAGGAGGAGUUGGAAGGAUUCCCAGAAUCGGAAGGGAAGGGAGAUGGACUCGGAGGAGGAGGAGUGCUUGAGACCAGGAACCGCAACAGGUGGAGAGAAGUGUUCGAGACAUCGGAAGAUGAAGGAAGUUCAUUCCGGGGUUUGCCUCCUCACCGCCCGUAGAGGAGGGGCGAGAGGGGGUGAAGGGGGCCCUGGAGGGGAGGUGGAUGUCAGGGAACUGCCAUCGGUAGGAAGGGAGGUGAAAGGACUCAGACAGGUUGGAAGAGACUUAGCAGCUGAAGAGGAAACCAGCAGGGGAGAGAAGCUGAACUGAGGGAGGUGAAAGGGCUCAGACAGGUUGGAAGAGACUUAGCAGCUGAAGAGGAAACCAGCAGGGAGAGAAGCUGAACUGAGGGAAAGGGAGCUGGGGGAUGGCUCAGAGAUACUUCCAGCGAAAACAGUGGUGAGGUUUCCGGACCUCCUGUAGCGACACCCACUCCUCGCCGGAAACUGUCACGCAGAGAGUCCAGAAGACGUGUUUCCGUUAAGGAGCUUUUAUGUUGGAAGCGAUUACGAAAGCAACCACUGUCGGAAUCUUCUAGUGACUAAGAGGAGCCAUGUCAGAGGGGCUCAGUCACAGACAGAGGUUUGUGGACUUGAACAAACUCUGAGGGAAUACGAUUUUACGCACAAGCAGCUCAUAAUCCCAUCACAGAAGGUUAGAAGGAUUUGCUGGAAAUACGAUUUGGACUAGAAUACAAAGCUGGGGGGUGAGAGGAGGUCACGGAAAUAAGUAAAGGGAAAAAAGGUUAGGUAAAGGUUUAAUUUUUGUUUUAUUUUAAUGUAAUGUAUUAUUGUAUUUUUUGUUAAGUCUUUUUCACUGUUUGUUUUUUGUUAUAUGCUUAUUUUAUUUUGUAUGGAUGUUCUUUUCUUUUUUGCAAUCUUAAACUUGGAAUAAAUAUCAUUUUUUUUUUUAAAAAAAGAAACACCUACAUUGGCUCCCAGUACGUUUCCGAGCACAAUUCAAAGUGCUGGUGUUGACCUUUAAAGCCCUAAACGGCCUCAGCCCAGUAUACCUGAAGGAGUGUCUCCACCUCCAUCGUUCUGCCCGGAUGCUGAGGUCCAGCACCGAGGGCCUUCUGGCGGUUCCCUCAUUGCGAGAAGCAAAGCUACAGGGAACCAGGCAGAGGGCCUUCUCGGUAGUGGCGCCCGCCCUGUGGAACACCCUCCCAUCAGAUGUCAAAGCGAUAAACAACUACCUGACAUUCAGAAGACAUCUUAAUGCAGCCCUGUUCAGGGAAGUUUUUAAUGUGUGAUAUUUUAGUGUAUUUUUGGUUUCUAUGGAAGCCGCCCAGAGUUUAAUAAUAAUAAUACCUCAACCUAAGAUUGUGAAGCUGGAGUCAGUCAGGGCCCCAUCCUUCAGUCAGAUGGGAAAAGGCAUGCAAGACAAGAAGGAGUUCCCUCAGGACUCAUAGCCAAGAUGGUCUCCAACCUCUUCCCAGAAGUAUAGUUUCCCAGCUUCCAUUAUAGUACCCUUUUUCAGCUCUCUGCUUGUAAGCUGGUUUCAUUAUACUGUCAUACUUCAGGAUAAAUAUGCUUUAGGUUGAGCGCUUUCAGGUUUCACUCCGCGGCGACCCAGAAGUAAUGGAGCGUGUUACUUCCGGGUUUAGCCACUUGUGCAUGCGCAGAUGGUCAAAAUGUUGUCACGCGCAUGCGUGGAAGUGGCGAGACGCGACCCAUGCAUGCGCAGACACGCUGUCGCGUCUUACAUUCUGUUCAGGAUGCGAAUGGGGCUCCAGAACAGAUCCUGUUCGCAUCCUGAGGUACCACUGUAGAUGUCAAAACCACUGUUGUUAACAGUAAGAAUCUUGAUCUCUUCAAGUCAGACCUUUGCACAAACAAGUCCCAUUAAAUACAGUGGGGUUUACUUCCUGGCUGUCAUAUUUCACCAACAGUGCCCAUGUAGAAAAUGGGUUCAUUUAUUGUUAAAUCAAUAUGCUUCCUAAGGGAAUCUUCCAAAUCAUUUACAAAUAAUGGCUGCGCACCUUCAAUCAGAGAUACUGCACACAAACUGAAUUGACGUUAUUGAUUUCAGAAGUCCUCCUCCAAAUUUACUGAGAGACAGAUUUGACCCUAUUGCUCAGAAACUGCUUAUGCUGGAGAUUAAUGCUUAAUACCCCUCGAUUGGAUGUUACUUUUUGCAUAUGCUUCAAUGAUCUGUUCCCUGGUUGUAUUAGACUAUAAAACCCGCUGUAUCUGAGCAUUAAAAAGGAAAUACCAAGGCAACUAUGGUACAUCUGAAAGAUUUUAUAUUAAAUAAAACACUGUCUCCAGGUUUUGUUAGUAGAAAACCUUGUUUGUAGUCACCAACCUGAUACCCACUAACAGGAAGCACAAAGUAGGUUAUUUGAUACUGUUUAGAAUCAUCUGUCUAGUGUCAGUAGUUGAUCCAAUAGCAAAAAUGAUUUUGCUUACACGUGUCUCCCCUGAUGGCACUAUAUAUCUCAAACUUCUGUUUCCAUCUAUUGCCUUGCUUUCCCAUUCCCAAACUACAUAUUUGUCCGAUGGCCAGGUAUAUUCCAAUCACUUCUCUUUUUCAUUAGAUUCUGGUGAACCCAUGUAGAUCCAAAAAUGAGAGAUAGACUGGAUGGGAGCCAACAAACUACAGCUCAGGUGCGCAGAAAUAAUUGUAGAAGGCAUGCCUGUUCUGGGAGGUAUCAACCAGAAAUUCAGAUCUGUAAAAUCCUUUCCCCUAUUUAGAGCCUAAUGUAAUACCAUGUCAUAAAAGCUCGUUGCUGAUUCUGCUAAUUGUAUACAUUGGUCCUGUCACUGAAGUUCCCUUUAUAUCCAAGAAAUUCACCACAUGCUGUUUUGCACCACUGUGUAAAAUCCUGUUCUAGCUAACCAUGUAGAUCUAAAUAUCAACCAAUGGAAAAUUACACUUCAUGUAGCUAAUGGUGGACUGUAGUCCAAAAGGGGAAGGGCACAAUAAAUCUGUUAGUCUUCAAGGGAGCCCUUUAUAAUAACAGCCAACCCUUUGAAAUAAUAAUGAAAAACACAAAUCAGCUCUCAGUGCCCCCCUUCAACAUUAUCCAACUGCAAGCAGUGAUUUUCCACUGCUGUGGGGCAUGAUUAAAUGUAAAGAAUCCAUUCAACACACUAUACACCAUUUCAGUCUCUCCACAGGGCACGGAAAAUCCCACCCCAUUUGUUGUCUUGAUACAGAUAUGAAAUAGUAGGUUGACUGAAACUACUAGAGCUUUGAAGUUAGUGAAUUCUACACUUACCUGAAACAUUCUAGCUUUAAUUACUUUGGAACUCAUUGAAAUUAGUUUGUGCAGUUGACACAUAAAGAAACCAUAGAAUUUUGCAGGGUGGUGAACUUGCUGCUUUUUUCAUCUGUCUCACUGCUAACAGUACACUCAAUAAACAGCUUGGUGGCCCUUCAGCUCAAUGCCCAAGGCUAGCACCCAGCUCUGCUACUACUGUUUCCUUCUCUCACUGUUCUGAUGCAGAAAUACCGUGAAUUAUCCAUCCUUCCUAACAGUAUAUAUAAUACAUAAUAUCAGUCUCCACCCCCAUUGUUCUGCCUGGAUACUGAGGUCCAGCGCCGAGAGCCUUCUGGCAGUUCCCUCACUGCGAGAAGCAAAGCUACAGGGAACCAGUCAGAGGGCCUUCUUGGUAGUGGCGCCCACCCUGUGGAACUCCCUCCCAUCAGAUGUCAAAGAGAUAAACAACUACCUGACAUUUGGAAGACAUCUGAAGGCAGCCCUGUUUAGGGAAGUUUUUAAUGUUUGACAUUUCAAUGUAUUUUUAAUCUUUGUUGGAAGUCGCCCAGAGUGGCUGGGGAAACCCAGCCAGAUGGGUGGGGUACAAAUAAUAAAUUAUUAUUAUUAUAAUUCACAUUUCAGAAAAAAUCCAAUUGCUUAGUAAGUGUGAACACUGUUGAAUUUAGCAACUGUCAUUUCCUUAGCAGCAGCAAUUAUUAAACAUUAAUUGCAUUUAAACUGCAUCACUUUAAAUUAAGAUGUGUCUUUCUGAGUUUAAGUCCCUAUAAAAAUUCUGGCAUUGGUUUUAAGUAAGCUUUUCUCCCCCUCUUUAAAAACCACUUUAUUUUCUUUUUGGAUUCAAUUGAUAGCCAUGUGAAUGGCUACUAGUGCAAUUCAAAGUGCUGGUUAUGACCUAUAAAUUUUCGUUCAAUUUUUCAUUUCACUUUUAAUUUGUAUACUGCCUUUCUAUAUUACUAUACACAAGGUGAUUUACAAGCUGAAGAAACAGCAACACAUACAACAAAGAUCACACACCUUAUAACAAUCUGCAUUCAUUUUGGCUCAGGUCAAGUUAUCUGAAGGACCAUAUUCCCUCAUAUGAACCUGCUUAGGCUUUGAGAUAUUUGGGGAAGGUCCUUCUCUCGGUCCUGCCAGCCUCACUGGCACACUUGGUAGGGACAUGGGAGAGGGCCUUCUCAGUGGCUGCUCCCAGACUUUGAAACUCGCUUCCUAGAGAAGCUAGACUGGGUCCCUCCUUGUUGUCCUUCCGUUGGCAGGUGAAGACCUUAUCUGUAAGGCACCUUGAGUCCCAGUCAGAAAAAAAGCAGGACAAUAAACAAAUAAAUACAUAAAGUGAGUGAUGGUAAAGAAUGGAUCUGUGGCUCACAGAGAUUUGUGCAACUUGAGAUAAAUUAAUAUCAAUUCAUCAUUACAACUCCAGCAGCCAGUGAUUGUAUUCACAUGUAACAUUAAGCAAUGGUUUGGAGAUAUAAGGGUGAGCUUCUAGAAGCUCAAGAGAAGCCUCUGUCUGUCAUGUCCCCUCCUUCCCUCUUCUCCUUUCACACAGCUGGGAGGAUUCCUGCUGCGUUUAGUUUCACUUUUAAUGAAUAUUGGCUUAGCAUUACGUAUGAACCAGGUAACCUGGUUUAGAACAAAGCAUUUAUUUUUGAUUACUAAAGAAACCAACUUCAGACAAUAGAUUCUGAAGUCGGCUGGCAUAACUAUCAUUUGUUUUAAAGCAUGGUCUAUUGUUAUGUGGAAACCACGUCAAUAAAUUGCACAAGAUGAAGACCUCACUUCACAACAGAAGCAGGCAGCAUGGUAGGGUGCUGCUCCUCACCGGACCUCCAGCUGAUCAUGUUACUACUGCUUACCAGGAGGUAGAGGGGGAUGGGUGAAGCAGUCCUGAGACUGGAGCAGUGCAAAUAUACUGGUAAGCCAAUCCAGUCCUCCCAACUGCAAGUGCAAUGGCACCAUGCCUGACUUGUGCUACCUCACCCCUUCUUCUUCAUCGUCUGGUAAGCAGCAGCAACACGAUGACAGCCAAGUGAGCAGUGCUGCCUCAUCACAACAACUGAUUUCAAAACUCUGUCUGAGGAAAAUCCUUGUUCCAAGAAAAGUAUCUGGCAUCAUUCCCAGUACAUGGAUUUAGAAGAAGACAAAACUAACUUUUUCUUUUUUCAGCUCACACAAAUUUGGUUUUCUUAGGACAUUGAGUUGUUCAUAAAAAAAUAUCAGAGUAUUGUUUGCAGUUCAUGGGCUAUUAACCUCACUGUUCACAAUGUUUUCGUUUGUACCCAGACAGCUGUGUUUGCAGAUAUGUGUAUCUGCAAACUGAGGCUAUCACCUCAUGCAUCUUGUCCAUGAAAGCUUCUCUCACAAUAAAGCUGUUUUUAAAGUUCCACAAGAUGACUUCUUUGGAAUUGUACAAAGAAAGGUACCUCUUUAGAACUAAUCUAACAUUAUCUCAAAUAACUCUCUGCUACUUUCUGCUAGCUUGAUUCUUAAUGUCAUAAUUAUUAUUUUUGAAGAGUUGUGGCUGAUUCAAGAAUACUUUGUAUAAUAAUUUCUAAUUUUAUGGUUAUGACUCAUCAGAGCUGUACAUAAAUACUCAGAAUAACCCUAAGGCUUUUUUCUCUACAGUAGGAGCAGAAAACAAUCAUUAUUAUUUUCAGAAAAAACAUGGUAUAAUUUUAAAGAAACCAUCAUACUAUAUUUUCCGCCCUGGUACACUUCUGUCAUAGUCAGCACUUCUAUGUGAUAAGCCAUGUGGUUCAAUAGGGAGCCAUUUGACAUCUGAUCUUGAUCCAUAUGGAGAAGAAGUACUUGUAGCAAUAGAAUGGAUUUCAUGAAAAGCUACAAUGACCCUGAACCAAAAACAAAACAUUAAUCUUCACCCGUUUGUCUGUUCUACAGAACUGGAUUAAUAUAUAUGAUACUCACAAAGAACUUCACAUUUUAUUAGGCUUAUGAAACAAAGACUAAUUUGCCAGGGGCAAAUUAGAAAGAAAAUAUAAGCUUCAUUAAGGGAGAUUAAUUCAGAAUAGACAAGCAGCAGUGCUGGAAACCUCUCAAAGUAGAGAAUGAAUUACUGUGUUGUCAGCAAUAAGCCAGCUGUCAGAUCUCCAUCAUCCAAGUCAGUAAACAAAUGAAAACAUACAUAAGGGCUUCCAUCAGCUAGCUGACAGUGAUGUCUGAGGCAUGUCUUAACACACCUUAAAUCCCUAAAGUUAGCAUAUGCAAAUCCAUAGAGAGUUGCUUAACAUUCACAUUCCUAAGCAAGGAUAUAUUUAAAACCACCGCAAGGGAGGGGUAAAACGCCUUAUUACCAUAGAAUCAUCAGUGCACAGGGUUUAUUACAGAGUAACAUAAAGACCAUGAAAGCUGAUUCGUAUAGUCAAAUUUACAACCUAAGUGGGAGAAAUAUCAGAGGGAGAGACAAAGGAUAUAAGAGAAAUGAAUUGCCAUGACUAGAAUUACACUCCCUUUGGUUUCAUGUAAGGCUGCCUCAUGGGAUGAACAUGGAACAUUUUUCUGUAAGUGAAGCAUUAUUGGCCUCUGGACUGGCCCUGCCCAUCCAGGCAGACCGCUGGCCCCUCAAGAACAGGAAGGGGAUGGGUUGUAGCUCAAUGGUACAACACAUGCUUCCAGGCAAGGUUGGGAAAGAUCUGAAACCCUGGACACAGCCUACUUCCAAUCAGUGCUGAACUAGAUAGGCAAAUUGUCUGACUUAGUAUAAGGUUCCUUUCUACGUUUCUAUGUAGGGGCAAUAAAUGGCUCCCUUAUGGACUGGGACCUUUCCUAACAAGUUCUUACUCGGACUAACGCAUCCCAGUGUGUUCCUCGGUGCUGAGCCUUGACGAUGUGUAAAACAGGCUUUCUUUUUGUUUACAGUGAUAAUGCGUGCGAUCUUUUGUUGUCAUUUGUCCAUGUUUUCCUAACUCUACAAAUGACAAUAUCCUGGAGGAAAUGUUGGAGAAAGAUGCCUGCAACAUCUAUAGCUGUGUUGCUUCUUGAAGCCAUAAUCUAAAGUGCAUAGAGAUAUACUAAAAAACCCCAGGUGCCAACAUGAUCCUUUUGAUCUUCAUAAAAUGGCAUCCUUCCACUGUUGCUCUUUGAAUGACACCUAUAACUACCUUCAGGGGAUGGCUUCCCUAUUAGAGUGAGGCAUCUGCCUCAGUGGAUGCUGAGGAGAAGCAGCAAAGUGUUGGAGGACAGACUAUGUGGACUGCCAUUUGCCUCCUAAAACUGUUGACCUUAGGUGCAAUCCAGUUUUGAAGUUUGAUUCAGCUGCCAGUCCAGUUAGUUUCUUAAUAUGAAAGGAGUGCCAUCUUCUCCUUCAUUUCAGGCCACAAAAUGCCUUGGGUUGGACCCUGCCUACCUCUGCAGCACAUGCUGAUCAUCUCAUUGGUUUGGCACUUCCUCCUCCGAUGCUUCUGGUGAGUUGUGUGCCAAUUGCUUGUUGGUUCAUUUAUGUUAUUAUACAAACAUCUUCUGUAUAAUUAAGGGUUGUUUCUAAUUCUGCCAUUCUGCUUGUGGAAUAGAUUUGUGAGUGCGCAACAGAACUUCUGCUCCACGCGGCUCCUGCGGGCUUUUCUACAAGGAGGGAGAAGGGACUGACAGGCCGCAGAGCUUGUGUGUGGCUCUUGGGGGCUUUUCCUGCCUUCCUCCCCCCUGCAUUCGCUCCAUAAGAUGCACACACAUUUCCCCUUACUUUUUAGGAGGGAAAAAGUGAGUCUUAUGGAGCGAAAAAUAUGGUAAUAUCGAAAUUUGGAUUUUGAAUUGUGUUUUUUUUAAAUGUAUGUUUAUAUUUUUAAAAAAAUCAAAUGAUAAAAAUUAUAAAAAAGAAUGUGAUGUUCUGUCUCUGUAAUUUGUGUAUGAUAAAAAAAAGUAUACAAACCUAUUUUUGCACCUGCAUGGUUGGCAUGACUAAGCAUCCAAUCCUGGGAGUAUCCACUAUAUUUGUGCAUACUCAGAGGUUGCUAACAUUCAUCCUUUGGUUAUCCCAGGCCUAUCUAAUCAGUUUGUAAGCAAAACAGAUUAAAAAAUGGUCAGUCAGAGAAUGAUGCAUUGUGAUAAAUGAUCCUGUGGGCACAUGGACAGAAAAGGAAUGUUGCACCAAAAAAUAAAUAAAUGAAAGUUCCCCAGGUGCACUUCAGAAGCAUGUAUGUGCUAAAAAAAAUGGCAAUGAUUUGAAAGCUUGGAAUAUAGGAGACCUAUUUGGUCCCAAUUUUUCAUUCAUAAAUCUCACUCAGUUCCAAAUUGCAGUGGGACCAUGCCUCUCAUCAUUAAUUUAGAGUCUUCCGAAGAUAAUUACCUCAUGUUAAAUUAUACUCACUGUAAUUGUCUGAGCAAAAUUGGUAAUUGGGAAACUUGCUAUACUGUAAUUGUAAUGCAUCUCCCAAGGUAUGUUAAAAGUAUGCUUUAAGCUGUCACAAACAAGCAACACCUUUUCUUACCUUUCAAUCUCUUUGAUGUUUACAUACCUGCUAGAACUUAUGCAAAUCUCUGUUUAAAGACACACAUCCUGGCAACACCCCCGAAAGCUGUUAUUAGUUUUAAGCAUCAACUUAGGAAAUGACUUGAGACUUAUUAAUAUGCUCAGUAUUACACAAAUAGUUCAUGGCAGCAAAAGGAGUUAAGUUUAGUGAUGUAAUUUUGGGGAAAGAGAUCUAGCUUUCAAGCUUUCACUGGUUUUGAUCAUAUCCCUCUCUCUAUUUAAGUCACUGUUUUUAGGCCAGCUAAUCAAAAGUAGCAAAUGUUUGAAUGUGAAAAAAAUGUCAAAAAGACAAUAAGUAUUGUGGGGUGUAAUGAAUAUACUCAAUUAUUUUAGAUAGAGCUUUGACCAAAAAUCCACAUCAACUAUUGGCUGUAAACAAAAAGUUAUCAGUUUUUCAUCUUUUAACAGUCCUGUUGUCUGCCAAAAAAGCUGAAUGGUACAAGGACAGAAGUAGUCAGUGGGGGCUUCCUGUAAUUGAAUGGAUAAGCAGAAAUGGGAUGCAGUCAGCAUUUCCAAGCUAUAGAACGUGUAAUUCAGCAGGCAAUACUAUGUAACUUCUGCAAUGUGCUUCUAGCACUACUACUUGCCUGCAUUUUGUUUCUUUUAAUCAUUUAAAAAUAUUUUUGUUUUGCAAUUUUAGUAUCUAUAAUUUGUUAGAUGCUUUGAAUAUUUUACAUGGAAAAGAGUGAUGGAGUAGCAAAUAUCAAAAGCUAUCCCAGAAACAUUACACCAGCAGGUACAAGGAAACAUAUAACCAGGAAACAUAUCAUCUGGCAGAACAGAAAUAUUUUUAAUUUAUGUCCCAAAGUGGCCAAAUAAAAUGUCGUUCAUAUUUUGUAGGGGCGGGGGCUAGUAACAAAAUCAUCCAAACAAACUCGAAUUAUUCAUAGGGGGUACUACUGGCGGACCUACAUUUUGGGGGGGCUGAAAAUUGAACUGUUAUGAGGCCCCCUUCGCAACCAGCAAUGAGUUCUGGGUAACCACUGUUAUCUUCUUCAAUGGAAUUGUUCCAUGACGGAUCACCACACCUUUACAACAUCUGUGCCACUGAAUCUCAAACUAUGGUAUUGUUGAAAUAUAUACAACAAAAAAUUGAUCAAUUUCAAUCAUGCAACUCAAAUUGGGUCUACUAGACCCAAUUUUGAAGCUUAAGCUUCAUUAGUUUCAUAGUAGAUAUGCCGGGGGGGGGGGGAGUGUACUUGACUACCAACAAACUGAUAAGUGAGAAUAAAUGAGAUCACAUAACUACCUACAAAACAAAACCUCUCUCCCUCUCCCCAGGCAGCAGCCUUAAAUUCUCCAAUAUAGGUAAGGAAGGAGAUGAAGGAAUAAAUAAAAUCACAUUUGGCGUCCCCACUCCAAAAACAGAAUCUGUGAACAAUACCCAGUAUCAGAGACAGCAGUGAUUCCUUUUUUUAGUACUUUUUUUUUAAAAAAACCCUCUGCCGAUUACAGUUGUGUAAUUACUCUCUGCAGCUCCCUGUUCCUGUAACUUGUAACAGAGUUCGUGGUACAGUUCUGCUUCUGAACAGUGUGUGAACUGAGCAUGUCAAAGUUCAUUUUGAUAAGGGUUUAUCCUUUAACCACAAACCGCCCGUCAAGCAGCAGUUCUUUUGGCAGUUUCGGUGUUUAUUGGUGGCGUACGAAGUACAGCUACGGUAGCAUCCCCCACAAAUGUAUUCAUUUAUCCUGUUCAUCUGCCUUCUUUAUGGAUUUUUAUAAUUUUGGAGUCCCUCCAGUGAUGUUUCCCUUUUCACAUGUUCAAAUUAGGGUCUACUGAAUGCGCAUAGACUGGGGUUGGCCUGCAGCUGUGAUUCCAGUCUUCUCUCACCUGCCUUUCCAAGAGUUCAAAAUGGCUUACAUCCAUUGGGGGAGGAAGGGGGGUGCGGUCGGCUGUCAUCCCUGAGGGGGGUGACAUCGCCGCCCCGCCCCCCUGGGAUGUUCUCCCUGUCCCUGCGGGUGGCUAGCCCCGCCCCCGGGUGCACAGCAUGUGUGCCGCUCCAGGUGCCGGAGCAGCUAGCUCCGCCUCUGCUUACAUCACAC
rnacentral:lncRNA from 1 species